CCACGGGAGGCUGCAGUGGGGAAUAUUGGACAAUGGGGGGAACCCUGAUCCAGCCAUGCCGCGUGUGUGAAGAAGGCCCUCGGGUUGUAAAGCACUUUCAGUGAGGAAGAACGCCUGGUGGUUAAUACCCAUCAGGAAAGACAUCACUCACAGAAGAAGCACCGGCUAACUCCGUGCCAGUAGCCGCGGUAAUACGGAGGGUGCGAGCGUUAAUCGGAAUUACUGGGCGUAAAGCGCGCGUAGGUGGCUUGAUAAGCCGGUUGUGAAAGCCCCGGGCUCAACCUGGGAACGGCAUCCGGAACUGUCAAGCUAGAGUGCAGGAGAGGAAGGUAGAAUUCCCGGUGUAGCGGUGAAAUGCGUAGAGAUCGGGAGGAAUACCAGUGGCGAAGGCGGCCUUCUGGACUGACACUGACACUGAGGUGCGAAAGCGUGGGUAGCAAACAGGAUUAGAUACCCCAGUAGUC
rnacentral:rRNA from 1 species